rnacentral:piRNA from 1 species
UAGAAAGUUUUUCUGGGAGACCACAG